rnacentral:rRNA from 1 species
GGUUAAGCGACUAAGCGUACACGGUGGAUGCCCUGGCAGUCAGAGGCGAUGAAGGACGUGCUAAUCUGCGAUAAGCGUCGGUAAGGUGAUAUGAACCGUUAUAACCGGCGAUUUCCGAAUGGGGAAACCCAGUGUGUUUCGACACACUAUCAUUAACUGAAUCCAUAGGUUAAUGAGGCGAACCGGGGGAACUGAAACAUCUAAGUACCCCGAGGAAAAGAAAUCAACCGAGAUUCCCCCAGUAGCGGCGAGCGAACGGGGAGCAGCCCAGAGCCUGAAUCAGUGUGUGUGUUAGUGGAAGCGUCUGGAAAGGCGCGCGAUACAGGGUGACAGCCCCGUACACAAAAAUGCACAUAUUGUGAGCUCGAUGAGUAGGGCGGGACACGUGGUAUCCUGUCUGAAUAUGGGGGGACCAUCCUCCAAGGCUAAAUACUCCUGACUGACCGAUAGUGAACCAGUACCGUGAGGGAAAGGCGAAAAGAACCCCGGCGAGGGGAGUGAAAAAGAACCUGAAACCGUGUACGUACAAGCAGUGGGAGCACGCUUAGGCGUGUGACUGCGUACCUUUUGUAUAAUGGGUCAGCGACUUAUAUUCUGUAGCAAGGUUAACCGAAUAGGGGAGCCGAAGGGAAACCGAGUCUUAACUGGGCGUUAAGUUGCAGGGUAUAGACCCGAAACCCGGUGAUCUAGCCAUGGGCAGGUUGAAGGUUGGGUAACACUAACUGGAGGACCGAACCGACUAAUGUUGAAAAAUUAGCGGAUGACUUGUGGCUGGGGGUGAAAGGCCAAUCAAACCGGGAGAUAGCUGGUUCUCCCCGAAAGCUAUUUAGGUAGCGCCUCGUGAAUUCAUCUCCGGGGGUAGAGCACUGUUUCGGCAAGGGGGUCAUCCCGACUUACCAACCCGAUGCAAACUGCGAAUACCGGAGAAUGUUAUCACGGGAGACACACGGCGGGUGCUAACGUCCGUCGUGAAGAGGGAAACAACCCAGACCGCCAGCUAAGGUCCCAAAGUCAUGGUUAAGUGGGAAACGAUGUGGGAAGGCCCAGACAGCCAGGAUGUUGGCUUAGAAGCAGCCAUCAUUUAAAGAAAGCGUAAUAGCUCACUGGUCGAGUCGGCCUGCGCGGAAGAUGUAACGGGGCUAAACCAUGCACCGAAGCUGCGGCAGCGACGCUUAUGCGUUGUUGGGUAGGGGAGCGUUCUGUAAGCCUGCGAAGGUGUGCUGUGAGGCAUGCUGGAGGUAUCAGAAGUGCGAAUGCUGACAUAAGUAACGAUAAAGCGGGUGAAAAGCCCGCUCGCCGGAAGACCAAGGGUUCCUGUCCAACGUUAAUCGGGGCAGGGUGAGUCGACCCCUAAGGCGAGGCCGAAAGGCGUAGUCGAUGGGAAACAGGUUAAUAUUCCUGUACUUGGUGUUACUGCGAAGGGGGGACGGAGAAGGCUAUGUUGGCCGGGCGACGGUUGUCCCGGUUUAAGCGUGUAGGCUGGUUUUCCAGGCAAAUCCGGAAAAUCAAGGCUGAGGCGUGAUGACGAGGCACUACGGUGCUGAAGCAACAAAUGCCCUGCUUCCAGGAAAAGCCUCUAAGCAUCAGGUAACAUCAAAUCGUACCCCAAACCGACACAGGUGGUCAGGUAGAGAAUACCAAGGCGCUUGAGAGAACUCGGGUGAAGGAACUAGGCAAAAUGGUGCCGUAACUUCGGGAGAAGGCACGCUGAUAUGUAGGUGAAGUCCCUCGCGGAUGGAGCUGAAAUCAGUCGAAGAUACCAGCUGGCUGCAACUGUUUAUUAAAAACACAGCACUGUGCAAACACGAAAGUGGACGUAUACGGUGUGACGCCUGCCCGGUGCCGGAAGGUUAAUUGAUGGGGUUAGCCGCAAGGCGAAGCUCUUGAUCGAAGCCCCGGUAAACGGCGGCCGUAACUAUAACGGUCCUAAGGUAGCGAAAUUCCUUGUCGGGUAAGUUCCGACCUGCACGAAUGGCGUAAUGAUGGCCAGGCUGUCUCCACCCGAGACUCAGUGAAAUUGAACUCGCUGUGAAGAUGCAGUGUACCCGCGGCAAGACGGAAAGACCCCGUGAACCUUUACUAUAGCUUGACACUGAACAUUGAGCCUUGAUGUGUAGGAUAGGUGGGAGGCUUAGAAGUGUGGACGCCAGUCUGCAUGGAGCCGACCUUGAAAUACCACCCUUUAAUGUUUGAUGUUCUAACGUUGACCCGUAAUCCGGGUUGCGGACAGUGUCUGGUGGGUAGUUUGACUGGGGCGGUCUCCUCCUAAAGAGUAACGGAGGAGCACGAAGGUUGGCUAAUCCUGGUCGGACAUCAGGAGGUUAGUGCAAUGGCAUAAGCCAGCUUGACUGCGAGCGUGACGGCGCGAGCAGGUGCGAAAGCAGGUCAUAGUGAUCCGGUGGUUCUGAAUGGAAGGGCCAUCGCUCAACGGAUAAAAGGUACUCCGGGGAUAACAGGCUGAUACCGCCCAAGAGUUCAUAUCGACGGCGGUGUUUGGCACCUCGAUGUCGGCUCAUCACAUCCUGGGGCUGAAGUAGGUCCCAAGGGUAUGGCUGUUCGCCAUUUAAAGUGGUACGCGAGCUGGGUUUAGAACGUCGUGAGACAGUUCGGUCCCUAUCUGCCGUGGGCGCUGGAGAACUGAGGGGGGCUGCUCCUAGUACGAGAGGACCGGAGUGGACGCAUCACUGGUGUUCGGGUUGUCAUGCCAAUGGCACUGCCCGGUAGCUAAAUGCGGAAGAGAUAAGUGCUGAAAGCAUCUAAGCACGAAACUUGCCCCGAGAUGAGUUCUCCCUGACUCCUUGAGAGUCCUGAAGGAACGUUGAAGACGACGACGUUGAUAGGCCGGGUGUGUAAGCGCAGCGAUGCGUUGAGCUAACCGGUACUAAUGAACCGUGAGGCUUAACCUU